UACGUAGGUGGCAAGCGUUGUCCGGAUUUACUGGGCGUAAAGAGCGCGCAGGCGGUCGUUCAAGUCGCGUGUGAAAGCCCCCGGCUCAACUGGGGAGGGUCACGCGAUACUGAUCGACUCGAAGGCAGGAGAGGGAAGUGGAAUUCCCGGUGUAGUGGUGAAAUUCGUAGAUAUUAGGAAGAACACCGGUGGCGAAGGCGGCCCACUGGCUCGAUACUGACGCUGAGGUGCGAAAGCGUGGGGAGCAAACAGG
rnacentral:rRNA from 1 species